GCGCUUGUGGCUCAAUGGAUAGAGCGCUGGCCUCCGGAGCCAGUUGUUGGGGGUUCAAGUCCCUCCAAGCGCG
rnacentral:tRNA from 1 species